rnacentral:lncRNA from 1 species
AUGGCAGAUUUACAUACUGCGCGCUUGGAAAAUGAGAAAGUGAAAAAGCAGUUAGCUGAUGCACUGGCAGAACUUAAACUAAGUGCUGUGAAAAAAGAUCAGGAAAAGACUGAUACACUAGAACAUGAACUUAGAAGAGAAGUCGAAGAUCUGAAACUCCGCCUUCAGAUGGCUGCAGAUCACUAUAAAGAAAAAUUUAAAGAAUGCCAGAGGCUCCAAAAACAGAUAAACAAGCUUGCAGACCAAUCAGCCAAUAAUAAUAGUGUCUUCACAAAGAAGGUUGGGAAUCAACAGAAAGUGAAUGAUGCUUCAAUAAACACAGACUCAUCUGCUUCCACCUCUGCUUUAGAGAUAAAGCCACCAAUACCUUCUGCAGCAGAGACAGAUAUUGAUAUGCUGACAAAAGGUCAAGUCUAUGAAAUGACCAAAGAAAUUGCUGACAAAACAGAAAAAUACAAUAAAUAUAAACAACUCUUACAGGAUGAGAAAACUAAAUGUAAUAAAUAUGCUGAUGAACUUGCAAAAAUGGAGCUGAAAUGGAAAGAACAAGUGAAAAUUUCUGAAAAUGUGAAACUCGAAUUAGCUGAAAUGGAGGACAAUUACAAACUUCGAUUGGCAGAGAAAGACAAAGAAAUACAUAUUUUGACUUCACAGUUGGAAAACCUCUCCAGGGAGAAGGAACUUAAAAGGGUAGAAAACCAAACAGAACGGAAAAGGGAAGGUCAUAGUCUUCAGCAUGUCUCCCAGGGUCUCAACGCAUGCUCGGAGCAAAAUGGGCGUACUUUGGUGCUGUCCGGUGCACAGCCAGCUCUACAGUAUGGGAACCCUUAUGCGAUACAGGAAACAAGAGAUGGAGCAGAUGGUGCUUUUUACCCAGAUGAAAUCCAAAGGCCACCUAUGAGAGUCCCCUCGUGGGAAGACAGUGUUGUCUGCAGCCAGCCUGCUCGAAACCUUAGCCGGCCUGAUGGUUUAGAGGACCCUGAAGAUAAUAAAGUGCCUUUUCCCAUGACCCACUUGACUGCAGCCAUGGCCAGCAGCUCUGUGGAAGACGAGAAUGUGCCCACUGCCCCUGAUCCCCCAAGCCAGCACUUACGUGGCCAUGGAGCAGGCUUUUGCUUUGACUCCAGCUUUGAUGUUCACAAGAAGUGUCCUCUGUGUGAAUUAAUGUUCCCUCCCAACUACGAUCAGAGCAAGUUUGAGGAGCACGUGGAGAGUCACUGGAAGGUGUGCCCGAUGUGCAGUGAGCAGUUCCCGCCUGAUUAUGACCAGCAGGGCUUUGAAAGGCAUGUUCAGACCCAUUUUGAUCAGAAUGUUCUAAACUUUGACUAAUUAUUUUUAUUAAGAGGUAAUACGUAUCAGUAGUUUAGAAGAUACCACCUUGGACCACUAAAGAGACCAUAAAUUGUCAUGUACCCACUAUGGCACUUUUCAGACUAAGAGCUACUUUGAUUUUGGUGUUUCUAGUGUCAGGAUCAGUCUUUGGCUUAUCAAUAAAUAUAAUUUUAGCCUCUGUUAAUCUUACUUGCUUUAAGAAAAGUUCGUGUGUGUUUAUAUCUUUUAUUUAUUCCCUGGUUUGCAGAACUGUAUGAAUAAAGGAUAAAGGAAUUAUUUCAAUGUUACUACACUGAAAAAAUGUGAUAGUAUGCUAGAUUACUUAGCAGAGUAUUUACAAGUUUCUGUUGACCUUGUUGAUUGAGCAUGACUACUAAAUAUUAUGUAAUAAAAAGCAUUGAUCAUUAACAGUUUUGUGAAUUAAUUCUUUGAAUCAGAAAGGUCCGUAGUUGAGUCCAUGGUAGCUUUUAAAUGUUCUUUAGAAAUGGAACUGCAUGUAGAAUAAUAAUACAUGCUUGAAAAUAUUUUUUUUAUAUAAGAAAUGUUGGCUCUAGAAAUAGAAGGUAUAUUUUGCUAAUUUUGACAAAAAUUUUUAGAGUAACUUGAAUAUUUUUAAACUACAUUUAAUUUGUAUUUAAAAUGAAUGGGAAAAUGGAAAGAUAAGUUAGUACAAUUUGUUUUAUACAAAAUGACCUCAUAAUGUGGCACAGAAAUCACAGAAUAUGUAUCAGGACCCUUUUCACGUUUCCCUAAUGUGAGUAUAAAUUUGAAGUACUGUUCUCAGUAAGUACUUAACAAUGUAAUGUAUAAGCCCAAAUCAAAGUAAUAUGUAUCUUUAGUUAUGUCUUUGUUGUGCAGUAUUCAUCAACAUUAAAGAGGAUACGUUUUUGGAGGUCUGUAGUUUGAUUGUCAAGUUUAUUUGCAGUAGUUUUUCAUUAACCUAGAAUCCUCACUUUUUUUGUGUGUGUGCCUUGGGCCAUUAAAGGCUUUUUGUAUUUCUUUUUUAUAAUACUGUGAAUGUCAAGAAUUGUAGAAGACCAUGUGGACAGCUCCCCUUAAAUGCAGAACAGUCAUCUCUGCAUUAGUUAAACCAAACCCUGUCUCCAGGUACUGAUGCGUUCAGAGCUGGUUAAGCAGUUGCCUUUUCCCUUCAGGUAGCUCUAAGCAAUGCCGAAGCCAGCUGAGGUACUGACCUGUAACCCUUAAAUCCAGACCGGCUUCCUGUUUCUUGGCAUUGUGUUCUUUAAAAACGAUUGAGCAGAGCAGAUGGCAGAGCCAUAUAGCUCCAAAUACGUCAACUGGGUUGAGUCUCAAGAUAAGAGGCCAUGACUUCCCAGGCACAAAAGUUUACAUAUCACAAACUAAAGGACUAGCCUCCUAAAUCAUUCAAAUGCUACCCCAACUGAGAUGAGCAGAUUGGUCCUUCUACAUGCCUUCUGCCUGCAUAUUGCAGAGGUGCUUUCUCACCAACUGGCCAGCUCAGCUCACGUUACUCAUGUAAUUCCCACCGCCACUCCCUGUAUUAUCUCUUCUUGGAUAAUAAAUUGGGCAGGGCCUCGCAUCAAGAGCUUUGUUCUGUGUAUCCUCACUUGGAACGGACUGGGGUUCCUUGGCUGCCUGUAAUUAUAAGUGUUAAGUGUCUUUAUUCUCACUGUGGGUUGCACCAGAGGUGCUAGAUUGAAAUUAACUUGCCAGAAUUCCAAUAGUGUUUCCAUGUGGUUACAAAUGUAACUGCAGACUGAGAGGAAAACAAAUCACCAUAUUUGGAUUACAUUAUUAUUUAAGGGAUUGCAAUUGGGAUUACAAUAAAGAAUUGUAAAUACUAACAUUUGAUUUGCCAUUUUGGUACCUGUCAAAAAUUUUAAGGCUUGUUCUGAC